rnacentral:rRNA from 1 species
AUACGUGCCAGCAGCCGCGGUAAUACGUAGGGGGCAAGCGUUAUCCGGAUUUACUGGGUGUAAAGGGAGCGUAGACGGCAUAGCAAGUCUGAAGUGAAAUACCCGGGCUCAACCUGGGAACUGCUUUGGAAACUGUUUAUCUAGAGUGCUGGAGAGGUAAGUGGAAUUCCUAGUGUAGCGGUGAAAUGCGUAGAUAUUAGGAGGAACACCAGUGGCGAAGGCGGCUUACUGGACAGUAACUGACGUUGAGGCUCGAAAGCGUGGGGAGCA